UACGUAGGUGGCAAGCGUUGUCCGGAUUUAUUGGGCGUAAAGCGCGCGCAGGCGGUCCUUUAAGUCUGAUGUGAAAUCUUGCGGCUCAACCGCAAGCGGUCAUUGGAAACUGGGGGACUUGAGUACAGAGGAGGAAAGUGGAAUUCCACGUGUAGCGGUGAAAUGCGUAGAGAUGUGGAGGAACACCAGUGGCGAAGGCGACUUUCUGGUCUGUAACUGACGCUGAGGCGCGAAAGCGUGGGGAGCAAACAGG
rnacentral:rRNA from 1 species